CUCUUGCUUUGUUUCGUACUUGAUGUGAAGUCGGACGGUCGUGCUCGCUGCUCCGCCACUUAAAAAAAAUCAAACGACCCCCGCUAAAACGUUGUUGAUAAUAUUACAUAUUCUUCACAGUCUCGCAUCAGACGCACGUUACAUAACUUGAAAAGUAUUUAUUUAUUUAUUAACUGUUUUUAUUUACGACAAUUAUUUUGUUUUUUUUUUUUUAAAUGACUUGAUAAAAGUUAACUCAGUAUUAAACCAAAAAUAAAACGCGCAUUGUUAUUCGUUGUUUAACGAUAAUUUUUUUUUUUUACUAAAGUUGUAAAUGUUGUUUAAAUUUUAAGUACUGUGAUAAGCAUGGCGGGAGACAACCAACAUUUUUGUCUGCGCUGGAACAACCACCAAAGCACGUUGAUCAGCGUAUUCGACACGUUGCUGGAGAGCGGCACGUUGGUCGAUUGCACGUUGGCGGCUGAGGGUCAAUACCUAAAAGCCCACAAAGUCGUAUUGUCGGCAUGCAGCCCAUACCUAGAGCUUUUAUUAAGCCAACAUUAUGAAAAGCAUCCGAUCGUCAUACUGAAGGACGUUAAGUUCCAAGAACUAAAAAGUAUGAUGGAUUACAUGUACAGGGGGGAAGUUAACAUUUCCCAAGACCAGUUAAGCACGUUCCUGAAAGCUGCAGAAUCUCUGCAGAUCAAGGGUCUGACUGAUGGUGGUGGCAAUGAAGACAGCACAGCCUCUUCAGCACCGGUUAAGGCACCUGUUGCCACUCCGGUCAGAAAACCAAUUCAACAGUCAGUCACACGUGGUCCAUCUACAGUAGCACAGGGUUUAACGAUAGAGAGGAGGCCAGAAAGUCCACACAUCAGGUCUCGUGAUGAUAGUGCCUCACCUACUAGAAAACGCAGGCGCAACCAGCGUAGGCCGUCGACAAGUGACGAUCCUGACAGUCAUAUUGAUACAAGCAACUCCUGUGAUGUACCGCCCCUUCAGUCCGGAGCCCUGAGCGGCGUCGGUGUUCCUAACAUUCCUGCCACCAUAACCAAAGGUGCGCCGUUGGAUGACGGUGAUCAUGAGACUGAUAACAGCCGCAUCAACAACCACGAUGCAUCAGCUGCUGAAGGUGUGGCAGGACCAAAGAUCGAACCGACUGGUGAACUGAUUGAACCUAAGACUGAGUAUUUGGAAGAUAUGAACAACGAAGACAGUAUAGAAGACUUGACAUUGGAUGAUGAUGACGAUAUGGACAAUAGUAUGGACAUGUCAAGAGCUGGACCAUCACAUGACAACUCUAACCAAAGUUUUAAUCAAUGGCCAAUGUCUGGAAACCAAACCACGGAUGAAGUGUUUAUGAAUGCACAAGAAGCAGUUGGAGCUCACAGGGAUACUCAAGUUAGUCGAUAUUAUAAUAACAGUGCCAAACAGAAAUAUUUUGGUGAAGACGCAUUUAAGUGUACCCAAUGUGGGCGUACAUACCGUCGAAAGAAAAAUAUAUUUGGAUUCAGAAUAAUGGAAAAUUGUAUAACUGCCCAAACAAGAACUGUCACCGCAAUUAUAAAACUAAACCAGGCUUAUACAACCAUUUAAAAUAUGAAUGCAAUGUACCGCCAAAAUACCAUUGCAAUAUUUGUAACAAAAAAUUUAAACAACCAGGAAACUUUAAAAUCCACAUGAAAUCACUUCAUUUUGUAACAUUAAUUAAAAUUUAAAGAUUUAAUACAUUUUUAUUGAAAAUUGCACAUAAUCCAUGUGAUACUAUAUUUUCUUAGGAGAACACACUGGUGUUUUCUGAGUCAGCUGUUAACACACCACAUAGGAGAUUAACAUUCUGCAUACAAAAUAUUAUUUUGAUUUUUAAUAUUUAAAUAAAUUUACAUUUUCAAAUGUAAAGUUAGGAAUAUUUUCAAAGAUUUAUUACUAUAAUUUUUCUAUAUUAUAAAAUAUUAUUCUUAAUAAACGAUUGUGUUUUUAGAACAAAAAUAUGUUGAAAACCCAAGAUGGUGAGCCAUUUAAAAAUUGUAUGAUUGUUGAUGUAUACCCCUUAAAUUGAAAAUAUCAAACUAUUGAUUAUUCAGAGUAUACAUUUCCUGUGUAUGAGAGAGAUAUCAUAAGAGUAUAUCUUUGUAUUAUAGUAUAAUGUAUUUAUUAAUUAUUACCAUGAUUUUUCUAUAUUGUAAAUAUUAAUUUGUUACUCUGUAUUUAUUUUGUAUGGAUAAACUAUGAUAAUUCUAUAUCUAUAUAGUUUUAAAUUUAUGCAUACAUAUUAAUUGUUUUUACUCAUCAAAAGAUACUAUAUAUUAUAAUCAUAAUUUGAACUUGUUAUUGUAAUUUAGUUGUGCAAUUUAAAAUGAUCAAAUUGUGAAAUUGUUUUGUUCUUUACUGCUUAGUAAGAGUAAUCUUACUGUAAUUGUAAAGAUAUCUUAUAGAAUUAACUGAAUAUUGUCUUACUGUUGUAUUUUGUUGUAAUUUCUUAGUUUUGUAAUUGUUUAAAUAUAUAUCUGUUCUGUUUAAAUUAAAAAUUGAAUUACCUUUGUAAUAUAUAUUACUCAAAUGUUAGUCUGAUUUAAGAAUUAAUAAUAACUAAUCACAUUAAUGUAAGAUUCGUCAAACUUAUUUAGCAUAAUUUAUUUUAAGCUUUUUUUUUGUGAAUAAAGCAAUUUUUUUAUAAUUUUUAACUUAGAAUAGUUUAAGAAUAUGCUUUUUAAACUGUAUUUCUUCAUUUUGGCACUUAAUUAAAUUAUAACAGUGCAUGGUUUAUUCUUAGAUUAUUUUCACAUUAACUUACUAACAAUAUAUUAUUAUUUUGCAGCUAUGCCAUUAUUAUUCAACCCAAAAUCUGGUAGAAUGAACAAAUAUCCUGGUCCAUCUUCAGAUGGUCUUUUUUAUUGUACAAACCAAUGUGGUAAAAAGUAUAAAUCUAAACAAGCUAUCAGUGUACAUAUGCGUUAUGAGUGCGGUGUAAAACCCAAGUUUUACUGUCAAGAAUGUAACAAAUAUUUUAAACAACCUGUCAGCUUCAAAGCACAUCAAAUGAAUGUCCACAAGUACGUAGUUGAAUAUACACAGUUUAAGUGCUCUAAGUAGUAUCAUACUUACAAUAAGUUUAAAACAAUUUUAAUUAACUGUUUUAUUAAUUUAUCCUAAUGUAGAACUUCCAAAGUGUACAUGGGAAGUUCUACAAGUAAAAAAAAGUCUGAUAUAAAAUAUGUAUGAUUUUGAUGUGAAUUAAUAACAUUUAUAAUAAAAAAAUCUUUUAGGUCUAGGGAUUUAAUUUUUUUCUUAGAUACCUCAAUUUUAAAAUAAUAUGAAUAGAUAACACUUUUUCAUAAUUUUAAAAUUGAACCCGAACUCUUGAUAAUAACUUGUUGGUUUAAGAAAUUAAUAAAAUAGUUUUUUUUAUUGAAGUUACUAUAUAAUUACAUAACCGGGAUUGACAAAUCCUAUUUUUAUUUAUAUAGCAAAACUUAUUGAUUUAUCAAUAUCAUACCAUUUAAUUUUCUAUAUUUGUAUACAUUUUGAACGGUUUUACACAUUAUAUAUCACCAACAAUGUAUAAUUUAAAUACAUUUUUUCAAUUAUAAUUAAAAAAUCUGUAAAGUAUUAUUAACAUCAAAUAUGUAUAUAGAAAACUGCCAUUUUAUAAACAUUUAUAAUUUUUAUUACUUACCUAUGUAAACAUAAUAUUUUAUAGGUAUGUAUUGUUUUGGAUGUUUUUAAUGUUUAAACUGGUCCAAUAUCUGUAUUAUACAUUCCUAAUAAAUGCUAUUUUAUUUUAAUUUUAUAUUUAUUCAUAUAAAGUCUGUUGUAAUGUAACAGAUGUUCUAGUCUCAAUUCAUUAUUUAACAUAAACAUAAUAUCAAAUUUUAGUGAUUUAUCACUUAACCGGGUUAUAUAAAGAACAAAGUAUUGUAUGUAAUGGUACCAAUGAAGAUACUAAUUUUUUCAAGUGGUAGAUAUGAGAAAAUGUUCAACAUUUGUUGGUGGUGUUGGGAUAUAAAGGGGUUGAUAACCACUGGCUUGGAUGGACCAAGGAUGCUUUGUAAAUUUAUGUGGCAUAUUCUGCCACUUAACUCUUCUUAGCUAACCUUUGAAUAAAAUGUUUAUAAAUAAGCACCUUUUAUUCUACAUUGGGUAUCAGAUAUACAUUGUCCUUCACAAUAUGCAGUAUAGUUUUUAAUUAAAAAGAGUUAAUUAUGAAACCUUAACAAUUAGUAAGUACUUACUUCAAACUAUAUAAAUAUAUUUUUCAAAAUCUCGACAAUUGAUUUAAUAAAUGCCAACUAUCCAUUUAAUGCUUAUAUUUUUGGUAUUUCUUUAAAAAUUUAAAAAUAAUAACACAUUCAACGCCGCCCGUGAUUUCAGAAAUGACGGAAAUAACAAAAACUAAAACCACCCAUUACUUUAAAUUAAAUUUAGAGUUAAUUGUCAAUGACCUAUUUAAGUUUCAGAGUUAAUUAAAAAAAAAUCAGAUUUAAUAAUAGCGUAUAUAAACGUAUACGUUUUUGACGCGUUAACGCGUCACCAGUCUGUUGGAAUAAACUCUCUUGACGCGUAUACGCGUCAUCUGCAUUGAAAGUGUUAAAUACAAUGUAUUUAGGUAGACAUAUUGUAAUUAUAAUUAUGUAUGCUGUUUCAUCCUAGAUGUUUUUUGACCCUUCUAUAAAGGCAUAUAAUUUCAAAUUGAGAUUCACUUUAUUUUUUUUUAUACAAUUUAUAAUUUUUGUUUAGAAGAUUCAAAGUUAAAAUAUUAAGAUGAUUAAACUCACCAUGCGCUAUUUUCAAUUCUUACCAUAUUUAAUCUUAAUUCCUGAUACAUAUUUAAAAUUUAUUAAUUCCCCACUUUUAUGCAGACAAUAGACAUGAAUAUUAAAUGUUGUGCUAAAAUGCAAUGAAUGGCAAUAACCUACAAUAAACUGUGUUCUAUUUAGAAUUAUUAUUAAGAUAUCUUAUUGUGGUUUACUUUUUUGGUGGUUGUAGAAUAACUGAUAAGAGGUUUUUAUUACUGACAUAUUCAUUUGAAAAUUAUUUACUUAUUUAAAUUAUAGUUGAUAUUAUUAGUUUGAUAUUAUGCUAUAUUUUUUGUGUAUUUAUUUAUUACAAUUCUUUAUUAUAGACAUACCUCAGUAAUGAAUUCUAAGGAAUUAAAUACAUGUAUAAUAUAUGUAUGAUAUAUAAUGUUAAUGAUUACUUUUCAGUCUGAUAGUUUGAUGAUUGAACUUGAAAGUUGUAUUUUUAUCCACCACCCAAGAUGAGGUAAUUUUAUUCAUAUAUUUUAUUGCUGUAAGUAUCAAAUGUUUAUUAGUACCUAAAUUAAAUUAUGUCUCUUUUGGUUACAUACUAUUAUAACACAAUUUAUGUAAUAUAUUUGUCAUAUUUGAUUACAAUAUUUAACCACAUAACUCUAAAAUAAUAAUAUACAAAACCUCAAAGCUGUUUUUUACUAAAUUAAUGAACUAACUUGAUUUAAAAUAGUUAUUAAAAGACACAUUUUAUAAGUCAUUGUCUCUAUUCAUAAACAUUCAAUAUUUGAGUUCAGUGGCAAAACAAAAAGGGGCUUCAAGAAGUGAUUGCUUCUCGAUUUUUAAUUUCUCGAUUUGAAAGUGAAAAACAAUUACUAAAUAAUAAUAUUAAUAUUGAUAGUACUUGUAUUUAUUGUUAACUGUUGGUGGGUGAGUGGUUAGGUCAGUUUUAGGUUGUUUAUGUGUUAUUUUACCACUGUUUGAGUUUAAUUACUUUAAUUAGGUAUUUUUUCGUAGUGUUUACUUUUCAAUAACUUAAAUUCUUUUUGUCUUUAUUUUUAAAUUAAAAAUUAGGUAUCAUUAAAUAUGAAUUACCCAAAAUACAUUGGUAGUACAUUAACAGAUAGUAUAAUUUAUCAGUAUAUACUAUUGUAAGUACAAUUUAAAAUAUAGAAUAAACAGUAAACUACUAUGAAAUAUUUGAAUACAUUUCUAAAAAGUCUGUUAUCAUUAGUAUAGUGUAUAUUAUACCAAUACUUUUAUUACAUGUAUUAACUUUUUAGAAAUAAAUCUAAAUAUUUUUGUUUAAUUGAAUGUCUAUUCUAGUUUUAUAAUUUUUUUACUACAAUAUUUACAUAAUAUAAUGUAUGUACUUUUAAAGUUUGAAUAGUAUACUUGCAGUCAUACCAUUAUUACAAUAUUACCUACCUAUUUUAAUAGUAGAUAAUGUUUGUUUCCAAUUGCAUGCAUUUUGUUAUGUUUAAUAAUUAUAAUAAUCUAUUAAAUAAAGUAUAUACUUAAUAAUAAUUUGUAAAUUUAAAAAAUGUUCACAGGUUGUUUAUUCAAUUUACCACGGUAUUCGUGUGAGAAAUGUUGUAAUUCAUAUAAAUAUAAAGCAAACCUCCGUAGACAUGAAAUAUAUGAAUGUGGUAUUGAGAAAAUGUUCAUUUGUACAAUUUGUGAACGUAGAUUUCAUCAAAAAUCUAAUCUAAAUAGGCACUAUAGUUUAUUACACAAUUUAUAAGUUUGAUAUAAUAAAUGUAAUCAACAAAUACUACAUAAUAUGUAUAAUAAUGUAUAUCACCAUGUUUGUUACUGUUGUUAUUAUAUAUUUAUAUAAUUUUAUGAUAUCUUUAUCAGGAGAUAAUAAAAUAGCCCUAGUCCAAACUCAGAAAGUUUUUACUGCUACUUAUUUUUUAUGUACGUUUAAGAUAAAUUGGCAUCAAAAGAUUGAAAAUAGUUGCCGGCUAUACUAUUAUAUAUUAUACAAUUGAAAGGUCCUGUUUUUAUUCACAAAAACUUUAUUUUUAAUAAGCAAUAACAUAUUCAAAUUUUCCUAGAUUAAAACCAUGUCAAAAAAAUCAAAUUCUAUAUUUACCCACCAUUGCCUCAUUUCCAUGUUCUUAUUUGCUUACUAAUUGAGAAACGCUGUGAUAUAUAAAGAAAAAUAAACUAUGUACAGCUUAAUAUUAUAAUUGUAUAAGUGAGGUAAAGACCACAGAAAGAAAAUAAUAUCUUAUGUGUGAGUAUAACUUGGUCAUUUAUUUGUGACUGUGUAUCAGUGUGAUCACAUUUAUAUAUAUAUAAUUUGAAAUACUGUGGGACAAAUUAAAACCGAAAUCUCUUUAAGAUUCUUUAAUAUCUGACAUUGUAGAAUAGAGAGUGAAUGAACAAUUAUAUUUUGUAUGUUACUAUAUAGAAAUACCUAAUAGUAUUACCUACCUAAGUAUUUAUUUUGUUCCUUUUGUACAAAUUAUGUUAAGCAGUGCAUUUUCCUAUUGAAUGAACUGUUAAUGUUAAUGUUACUCUAAUUAUUUUACCCUUAUGUGUUAUUUAGUUAGUUAAAUUAAAUAAAAAUAAUUUGUGUUUUAAACUCAUUGUUAUUAUUUAUUUAUAUUGUUUUAAAUGGGCGGAGCAACAAAAAAAUAUGUAGCAAUCAAUCAAAUAUGCUAUAGACCAACUUAGGAUAUGAUUUAACAAAAAAUAAAUAACAGAUUUUUAUUAAGUAAAAGAUUAAAACAUAAAUUAAUUCUAUACCUAAUUAAAGUAUACAUUAAACCAGGGGCAACCUUUGGCCAGCGGACUGCAUGUGGCCCUCAUAAGUCAUAGUAAUUUUAUGUUUCCCGUAAUUAAAAUGUAUAAUUUGUAUAAAAAUGAAGAACUAAGAUAGUAUGGAUUGAAAUCUGCAUCUGCAUAUUAAAACUUUGUUGGUAGAUACCUUGUUAAAUUAAUAAACCUAACAGUUGAAUAAACUUAAAUAAACUAAAUUUAAUAUGACUUUAUAUUUUUGUUUAAACUAAAAUUAGGUAUAUUCAAAUUGUAGCACGUGAACAAUUUUAUAUUUAUUUCUGGCCCUUGACAUCAAAAAUGUUGGUGGACCUCUGCAUUAAACAAUCUAAUUUAGUUGAAAAAAAAUAUAUAAUUAUUAUCAAGUCACAUAGUUCUAAUCAAAGAAGCAUUUUGAACAAAUUUAUAAAUUGGUAUAGCACAUACACCAUUAAGUUUUAUGUCCGGGAGCUAAAAAGUUUAUUUAUCUAAUUAAUCUGGGCUAUAUAUAAGACAAUUUAAUACUAUUAAUGAAACAAAUGGCUAGCCUUUUCCGUUUUACAUCUAAAUAUUCGAGUUUUAAAUAUAAUAAAAUAAGCUGGAGUGAUCAAAAAAUAUAAAAUGAAUGACAAAUCGGCCUUAGAAAUUGAUUCAAUAAAUUUUAAUCAGACCAACAGUAGACGGUGACCGAUCAACUAAAUUAUAACCAAACAAAAAAAAUAUAAAGAUUUUAGAGAUUGUGAAAUAGUAAAACCUUACAGCAUUAAUUAUUAAUACAAUUGAUUUAUUAAACCAAAUAUUGGAGAUGCAUUGUUUAGAAAUAUCUAAGUAUAAUUUAUUUGCAUCAGUAAUUAGAAUUAUAGAGAACAUUUUGAAACAGUUACUCAUGUAUCAAUUUAAAAAUCUAAAAUAUUUUAAUAUCAUCAGCAAAGAUUAACAUAUUUCAAUUGCUGAAUUUAAUAUCAUUGUAUUUUAUUUAUUAAGUAAUAGUGGAGCUAGAUGGAAACCUUGAGGUACUCUACAAUGUACAUGUUAUAGCGUAUUCAUAAUAUAAUCGAUAAUUAGUUAAAAUUUUAUUUAUUUUUGUCCUAACAAUUUUUAAAAAACUCAAAAUUGUUAUGAUAGUUUGAAAAGUAUGUUCUUUACUUUGAUUUCCUAAAAAAAUCUUUAUAUUAUGAUUUUAGAUGACUAUUCAGAAAUAAACAUAACACAUUAAAAAAUUUGUAAUAAUCUGUUAUUGUGUGACAGUCCACCACAACUAAAUUUAAGUAUACUACCCCUUGAAUACACUACCCAAUUUCCACUACAAUCUAUCUAUUCAAGAACAAUUUAAUAUAUAAACUUUGAAAUUUAAAUUAACAAAACAUUGUUUUUAUUUAGGCAUAAUUGUAUUUAUGUAAAAUAUUGCGUUAGAAUCUUGGAUAAUACAAUUUUUCAUAUACUUUUCUUCACAUUUACUCAGAUAAUAACUAAUAAUUAGUUCUGUAAUUUUAAAAUAGUGAUUCCUAACUAUGCAUGUUUGUUAAAUACUUUUAAAUUAUUAUGGUUUGUUUAGUUGGUGUUAAGCAUUUAUUUAAUAUUUAUUUAAAAAUAUCCUCUUUUGUUUCAGUUAUAAAAUGGUUAGGAUGCUUGGACCAUUUAGCAAAACCUGACCCAGCAAAAUGCCCUAACAAUAAUUGUCAACGGAAAUUUGGCGGGUAUACUAGAAAAUAUAAUUUAAAAAAUCAUCUUCUUAACGAAUGCGGAAUUAUUAUAAAAUGUCAACUGUGCUCUAAACGGUUUGGGCAUCUUAAAAGCCUUCGUUACCACAUGGGAGUUGCACAUGCAACUAUUUUAUAGGUAGUUUCAAAGUUUAUGAAACAAAUUUGAAUUUAUGUUUUAAUACCUAUAAAAAGUAUAAUAAUUGCAUCAUAUUCAAAAUCAUGUUUUACUAUGCAUAUUAUAUAAGUUUUUAUUUGUAUUUAAUAUUUAACUUGAGUACAUUUUAUGUUAUGUAUUAUUUCUAGUAUUUACCUAUGUAUAUUUAUAUAUUUAUAUUCUAGUUGUAUAUGAAAUAAAUUGAAUAAUUUAAAUAUAACUACAACCAUGUACAGACUAAAAAUAGAAACUGUGAAGCUACUAGCCAAACAUAAAACAAAUAAAGUGGAUAUCUAAUUCCAAGUUACAAUAUCACCUUAACCCUUUUUUGUAACAUACUCACUUUCUGGACAACCAUUUACCGUUUUUUUAAAAGUAACUAGUAUUUUGAUCUCUUGCCAUUACUAUUUCAAAUUAAAUUAAUUUGGUCAUGAAGGGUUCAAUCAAUAGACCUUUAUGAUUUUUAUUAUAUUAUUGUUUUUGUAAAUAUUUUUUUAACCUAUUUUCAUAUUGAAAGUUUAAAAUAUAAUAUUAUAACAAGUAUACUAUACUAAGUUACAAUUUCAUAAGUAGUUUCAGUUUUAUUUGUUGAUAAACUAAUAAUUUAAAAUAACUGAUAACAAUUUCUAAUUUGUAAUAUUAUAUUUUAACUUUGUUAAUUAAUAAGGUAACUAAUAUUUUAUUGUUUAGUGGUUGGUUAGCUCUUUUUAAUUUUAUUCGAGAGAUAAAUUUACCGAAUUGUGAAUAAUUUUCAGCGCCUUGUUUAAUAAUUAUUCUGUUUAUUAUUUUUUAAAAUCAUGUCAAGUUAUUUAUGUUUUUGUAAUAUUUUUUUUAAAUGCAUGAUUUAUUGCUUUAAACUUAAUUAAUUAUAUAAUGAGUUAUUAAAGUUAUAAAUCUAUUGGUAUUUUUAGAAAAUUCAUCAGAAUGUAGAUGGGUAUGUCCUAAAAAUUGUGGGCGAACUUACAAAGCAUCCAAACAACUUCAUAGACAUAUGACCGAGUGUGGUGUACCACGUCGGUUUAAGUGUGAUCAAUGUUUCAAGUCUUUCAAACGCAAUGACCAUCUAAAACAACAUUUGAUGUCUUGUUCAGACUUUCCACCCGCAUUCAGCUGCAAAAUUUGCUUAAAAAAAUUCAAUUAUAAAUCCAAUUGGAAAACUCAUAUGGCUUUUAAACAUAAUAUGCUUGACGAGUAUCAAUUAAUAUUUUAAAAUUGUGUUUUAAAUAAAUAGUAUUAGUUACUAUAACAUUGUAAUUAUUAUUAGUGCACACAAAAAUUAUGCACUAAUCUAUAACUAUAGAUGUAAAGUAUAUUAUUAUUACUGUUUAAAUUUAAAUAUAUUUUGUUCUAAAAUGUAUUAAUAAUGUUAAGUAAUUGUUUUAUUCCUAAAUAAAUCCAAUGAAAUGUAAAAUUUAAAUAUAAUUAUACUUAUAGGUAAUUAAAAGUUAUUUAACUAAUUUUUUUUUUGUUGUGAGGAUUGUGUUAUGUGUUGAUAUGUGUAGAGACUUUUAUACUUUGUCAAACUAUAAGAAACCGUUACAAUUUUGUUUACAAGUUUGGCCUAUGGAUUAAAAAGCAAAUAAUUAUUUUUGGCAUUCAGUAUUAAGUAAAAAUUAAAAUACUUGGAGAAAAUUGCAUCUAUGAAAUAAAUAAUAAUAUAAUUUUAUUUAUUUGGUUUCUACAGUUUUUCAAUAAUUAAAUAAUUACUAUAAAUUAUAGUUUUGAUUUUUAAUAUAUAGAUUAGUAAUAUAAAUAAACUGAUUAUACAAAGCAAUACAUAUAUUAUAUUAUACAGCUUAAUAAUAUAAUUUGAUUGCCACAUGGUUUAAUAAUAAUUUAUUUUGGCUAAGUAUAAUAUUAUAACACAUUUAUAUCUUACAUAUGAAUUAAAAUAUAGUUUUGUUCGUUAAGAGAGUUAAUACAUAUUGUAGUAAGUGUCAUGAUGUGAUAAAUACUGAAGCAUUAAUUUUUUUUGUAAAAUAGUUUAUUAUUUAAAUACUAUUCUACAUUAGGAUACUAACUAUGCAUGUGUUGUCUCAGUCAUACAAACAUAUAACAUCUACAGUUUGAAUUUAUUAGACCCAAUUGUGUGUAGGUAGCUUAAACGUAAGUGUGAAUUGACCUAUUUUCAAACUUUCAGCCUAAAGGUAAGAACAUAUCUGUAGUAUCGUGUUUUUUUUUUUAAAUAUUUCAUAUGUAUCUUAUAUAAUAUAUCCUUUAUUAUAGGCAUUUUUAAUGUAUGAUAUUUCACAUGCUCAAAUGUUAAAAUAAAAAUAAAAAUAUUGAAAAUGAGCUGAAGCUGAGAUAACGUUUUUACCUUUAAGUUUGAUAAUAAAAUGGAGACAACACAGGUGUAGUGACGUCAUAAUAUAGGAUAUUCUGCAAAAGGAUCAAUUUAAAAGAUCUUAAAUACUUGUAGAAUUUAUUGUUAUUAGUUACCGUAAAAAUUUAUAUUUAGUGGAUUCUAUUUUGCUUUAUUUAUAAGUGUGUUUUUAUUAAUUCAAAAUGUAUAAGUUAUAACCAUUUUUGUAUUAAUUUCUCAUUAAAUUAAUAUUUUAAUACUAGACAUCUUAUAAAAGAAUCUUGUUUAGUUCAAUUAAGGGAUAUCAUAUAUAUUUGUGACGUAAAACUGUACUUAUUAUACUGAAAGACAGGUGUAAUUAGUUUAUCAAAAACAAAUUCCAUAUUGGUAGUUUGAAAUUCAAUCUGCACAUUAUGAAAGACUGUAAUUACACCAUUACACAAAUAUAACUGGAAAAUUAUUGUUACAAAAGUAUACUCUAAAUAAAUUUAAGUGUUCAUAGUUUAUUAUAUCUUUAUGAUUUAUGGUCAAAAAUCAAUUUAUUAUUGAUAUGGAGUGUUUUUACUGGGAUUACUAUGUAUUGUUUCGUUUAAUGGAUGCUAUUUAAAACACUAGUACUUUAACUAUGAAAUAUGUGUAUAGGCUAUUGUAUAUUAAAUAUAAAAAAUAUAUAUUAAUAUGCAUGCUUAUGUUCAGUGGUGAAGCAUCAUAGGAAACAAUGAUACAACCUACAUAGAAUACGGAAUAAUUAUUUUAUUUUAUUUUACAAAUUUAAAUAUAAUAAUAUAAAAUAUAUUAUCAUAAACCCAUUAAAAUUUUUUUUAUAGUAUUCUUAGAAUAGACAAGUUGCGAACCAUGCACGUGCCCUGGUGGUCUCGUGUUCGGUUUUUGAUUUACAGUUUGUGUAUUUCUGGUAUGAUAUUGUCUAAUAUACUCAUAGUAUAAAUAAUAUUGUCAUUAUCUCUGAUUUAUUUUAUUUUUUUCAACGUCUCCUUGACUUAUAGACUCACAACUCGCCACUGCUUAUACUUGUACAGUACCUAAUGCAUUUUGUACUAAUAUUCAUAUUAUAUUUACAAAUAUACAUAUACUUUAUUAGGUAAUAUUGUACUAUAUUUAUGUUUUGAAUAAUAAAAUAUUUUUUAAUUUUAGAGCCAUACAUAUGUUUACAAUGUGGACGUCAAUACAAAACCAAGACCGGUUUUCAGUACCAUCUACGCGUUGAGUGUGGAAAGCCCCCAGAGUUUCGUUGCUCUAUAUUCGUUCCUGUUUUACCAAAAAAAUGUAUUUGUGGAAUUAUUUCCCAUGGAUUAUGUAUUAAAUUGUUUGUACCCUCCUAUCAAUGUCCUAAUUGUUAUCGGCUGUACACAUACAGUAGGGGAUUGGCAAGACAUAUUAAAUAUGAAUGUGGAGUUGAAUGGAAGUUUCCAUGCGUUAUGUGCAACAGGCCAUUCAAACGUAAAGAGCACCUUCGUAGACAUAUGAUAUUUAUACAUAAACAACAUUAUAUCUAAUUUAAUUAUUUCUCAAAUUAUAAUAUUUUUAAUAUAUAAUAAUUAAAAUGUUAAUAGUAUAGAAUUUACAUUUCAGGUUUUAAUUAUUUUUCAGAUUUUUACUUAUUAUCAGAUGUGUAUUAUUAGUAUUCUCAAUCUGAGUAAGGGAGUUGAAUUAUGAAAUGUAACUAGAAAUAAAAAUAAUAAUUCAUCAUGUA